UGUGGUUGCUAGGUGGUUGAUAUGGUAACCUGGGUGGUUGCUAGGCAGUUGCUAAGGUCCUUGGGGUGGUUGCUAAGGUGUUGCUAAGCGGUUGCUAGGGUGUUCUGGGGUGUAGCUAUGUGGUUGCUAGGUCACUUGGGGUGGUUGCUAAGGUGUUGCUAGGCGGUUGCUAGGAUGUUCUGAGUGGUUGCUAGGUGGUUGCUAUGGUAACCUGGGUGGUUGCUAGGCAGUUGCUAAGGUACUUGGGGUGGUUGCUAAGGUGUUGCUAUGCGGUUGCUAGGGUGUUCUGGGUGGUUGCUAGGCAGUUGCUAAGGUACUUGGGGUGGUUGCUAAGGUGUUGCUAAGCGGUUGCUAGGGUGUUCUGGGUGGUUGCUAGGCGGUUGCUAAGGUAACCUGGGUGGUUGCUAGGCAGUUGCUAAGGUACCUGGGGUGGUUGCUAAGGUGUUGCUAUGCG
ensembl:lncRNA